UUUCUCAACUAUAUCAUCGUAUUCCUCCACUGUGUGAAAACUCUUACUACGUGCAGCACCCUUAGAACUGGAGUCAUGUUUAUCAUCAAAACCAGAUGAAUUCUCCUGAGCAAGAGACUGCACAAUAUGCUCUGGAAACUGAAAUGGCAGGCUCAAUGGCAAGUUUUGAGGAUGUGUUAGAACUAAGAUUCCCAGAGUGCAGUUUGUUGGAUACUGUGUUAGCUGCACAGACAAGAGCUAGAAAAACACCCCAUGGAAUAAAGAUAAGGCACACCUGACAAGGAAAAGAGGAGACAGAAGCAACAAAGAGUAGCAUGAAUCACUACAUAGAAAAUGGAAAUUCACACAAAUAGAAUCAAAUUCCUAGAGAACAUGAAAUAUGAGUUGUCUGAAUGGCAUCUAUUUAUAGUAUGUAAGGAGAUAAAAUAAGCAAACUCCAGAGUUUAGAGAAUUACAUGGGAAAUCCUUACCAGUAGUUUUGCACCUGCAAAAUAUCACACAAGUGUUGAAUCAACGAAUUCUCUGAGGUUGAAUCCCUAUAGUCCCUCUGAUAAUACAAGCAACGAUAAGAACCUGAAACAAGAAACUUUAUAUGAUGAAAUUGAAAUCCAGCAUGACAGCACUUUUAGACAUCAAGACUUUUCACUUUUCAGCUAUGAAAAGCAAAAUCCAGCAAUACACUAGGGCGCAUCUUUAUUACCAGAUAUUUAAUUAUCUCAUUUGACUAGGUUUACAAUGAACAGACCCUAUAAUCUAAAAUUUAAAUACUGGCCUCUGAUCAUAGUGUUCCAUUUUGCUGGAACCAUGUCUUUUUAGUUGUGGCAGGUUAUGCUAAGAGUGAACAAGUGGAGCCAGCCUUCAUUUUGUUAACUUGAGAUCUGGAAACUGUUUGUGAAUUGGUGGUAAUACGACCAAGUUGGAGAAUCAAACAUAAUCAUUCUUUAUUUAAGAUAUGGUCAGCAUGAGAGGCUGCAACAGACAUAUCAUUUGACAAUCAAAUAUGGGUGGACCCCACCAGUAAUUUGAAAUUUUAAGUUUGAAUUUUGCACCUAAAACUUGUAUUAAAUAAUGGUACCAUAGUCUUUGUGCAGUGCCAUGCAGUGUGGCCAACGCAACGUGUUGUGCUGCUACCAUAUCAAAUGCAUGUUACCAUCAAUGGAGAAAAAUGAAUUUGGACAGCAGAGAAUGGGUCCCUUGUAGACCCUCAAACCCAAACUAAACUAAUUCAUGUUCAUACAUCAU